rnacentral:lncRNA from 1 species
UCGCACCCACUCAGACAUGUCCCAUCAGGCCACCAUAACCCAUCAUGUGUAGUUUUUCCUAGUCAUCUAAGAGUUACAUGUAGAGUACAGAGUACUUUCUCCUCUAAUACUACUAGUUUUUUUUACUAGGGCCAACUUUCAGAGUACUUAUCCAUCUUAUCCCACUAGUUUAUUUACUUUUAAGAGACCUCAUAGGAGUUGGUCAAGCCCAAACCUAUGAAAAGAUAGCAACAACCAACUCGCACCCACUCAGACAUGUCCCACCAGGC